GGGCGUGCAGACCGGACGCCCUCCCGCUUCUUCUACCGACUGCUAGGCACACCAGUGGGUUCAUUUUGAAAGAGGCCCUUGCACCGGGCUUUGCAAGGAAGCCGGCAAGGUUAGAUUGAAGGUUAGAAGCCAAUUAGACUAGAAUCCUGCGAUCUGGUGAGACUGCCGCCUUAAAAUGCACCAAACAGUUUUUGAACCUGGAGGGCUAACAGGCGGGAAAAACAUCUGCAAGACUGCCACCGUGUAUUUUUCUCAAGUAACAGGCUAUCCACAGUUUUGGAAUUCCUUAGUGAAACUGUCACACAGGCACAAACACAUGUCAGCUUUCCUUCUAGUUUGUAAAUAAUAUUUGUAAUUUACAGGCCACUGUAUUCCCAACUUUGCACCAUGUGAUUUAGAGAAAGCAAAGCUCCCUCUUUAAAAAUAAUAUGUUACUUCUGAAAUACCGGGAUAUUCCACGGCAAGUAAGCCAUAUUGUCGCCAGAGCAAAUAAACCGCAGCCCCAUAUCAUAAUUCACUGGGUGCUAUAAGAUGUAACUUGGCUUUGCUUUGAAUGGAAAGAAUCCUGAACGUCUGUGAUGUGAUGAAGUUUUGGAGACUGGGGGCAGGAUUUCCUUUGAAUGUAAGGAAUUCGGAUAACUUGUUCAAGGAUGAUUCUAGUGAAAAACGUUUGUCCCAUGUUUGUUGGGACAAAAAUGCUGGAUAUGGUACAACAUUCUUCCUGCAGGUUCGGUUUUGUUGAAGAGAGUGAGGCCAGCUCGAGGUGAAGGAAAAACAUCAGAAAGGUGCUAAAGUGCAGAAAUAUCUUCCAGAGGCACUAAUAGCCGACUUUAGUUCUUGACCUUUAGCUAGAUCCACAAAGCACUGAGUUAAAAUUGUACACUGAUCCCUUCCAGAACAAAUUAAUUAAUUAAAUGGUGCCUCUUCCCAGCGUUAAUCGUUUAAAAGGACUCAAGUACCCACACAGUUUAAGCAAACUAAAAGAACACUGACACUUUCUCAGAGAACAGGGAUGGGAACUUUCUAUCUGCCCAUUAGUAUCUACCCCAAGCUACGAAGACUUCCAUUCCUCUUAUUAAGCAUUCAGCAACUACAUUUAGUGCCUACUAUGCCAGUGAUGCAAGAAUGGAUAAGACAGUCCCUACACUCAAGGAUAACGCCUCUAGUAGGUAAUGGAAGCUGGAGAGUUGGCCCUUGACCAAAGCCUUGCAGCUAACAAGAGGACAAGCCUCCUGCCCCACAGUGUUUCACAGCCAGUACCCCAAGCUCCUGAAUUCAUCUGUCUAAUGUGUAAUAUAUUUAUAAACACUCUACCUGGGAUGUAUGCGUACCUUCUACUAUGGACUGUUGUUAAAGACAAGUAAAUAUGCAAUCGUGGUCUUUCAAUAAACUAAACGGAUAUAAAAAUAAAUAUAGAAUACAGCCAGAAGAUCAAAAUUGACAUAUUAUCUAUUUAUGCUUAUAAUAUGUAAUUACAUGUAAUAUUGUAAAACACUUUCUACCAUUUCAUAAAAUUCUGUGUUGUUAUUUAGCCCAGAAUUCCCUUGCAAUCUUUUAAAAAUAGUAUCUAAUAGGGCUUUUAAUAUAAAUGUCGUAGUGAAACUGUUUUAUGUACUGUAACCCAAACAUUUCUACGUAGUAACACUGUUCCAUAUAGAAAACAAAUAUGAAAAAAUAUGGCCAUUGUCUUAUUUAUUUCUAAAGGUAAACCAAUCUUUGACAAUGCCAAUAGCAGUGUCAAUGUUCCUAAAUGUUGGCUGUAUCUAUCUACUUACUCAUUGUAUUCUUGAGGUUCCUUUCCUUUGGUUUCUAUGAUAUUCCACAUCCCUCUCUUUUCAUUCCAUUGUGUGAGUUCUCUCUGUGGAUCUUUUGUUAGCUCCUCUUAUUCCUUCUUGCCUAUCUGAGUUUCCUGAAAUUACCUUCAAAUCAUGUCUCGAAAGAUGUUCUAAAGAGACCUUUGAAUAAGAACAACAUUUGUCCCAUUAAUAAAUGGUGGGAGUUUCAUAUAUCUGUUUCUUUUUCUCUUCUUUCCUCUUUGCCUUGUCCAAAAGAGUGGGAACUGAGCAGUACAGUCAUAAAUUAAUUUUAAUAUAUUAACUUAGGCAUCAGUACACUGGCUAUUGUUCCUUAAUACAUUUAACACAUAGUCAUUGACUGCUGAUUAUGUGCCAAGGGCUGUGCUUGGCACUGGGGAUAAAGAAGUUAUUAAGUCUUUUGCAAGGUGUUCAUAGUCUAGCGGUUGGGGACAGACGUGAGGGAAAAAUCACAGUUGGAAAAGAGCGUAGCAAAUGAAACCAUUCAGUUAAAUUCAACAAACCCUGCGUGCUUACCAUGUGCCAAGCAGAUGGCAAGGAGGAUAGGACUGGGCAAGGCCUUGCUCCUCACGGACUCCCAAGCAGCUGGCAAAUGGUAAAACUACCUGAUACUUGUUAAGAGCUUCAUGGCAGAAAGAAAGUCAGAAAAAAAGUCAUGAAAGGCUAUUGGACAGACAAGAGGCUUGAUCAGAAAAACACUUUUAACAAAUAUUGUCCUAGCAACAUGAGGAGAAAGUUUGUUGUUCAGAUUUUUCAUGCUGUCAUUAUGGAAAGCUUACUACAUGUCAGGUUUCUUUCCUAGAGGCUGAGGCUUCCUUGGCUUGCCUCAGUGAAUCCCAAACUGGCCUUGCAACUCUCUCUCUUUGCCUCCCCUAGGCUUUCGGUAACAAAUCCUCAACUAGGUGAUAGGAGAUUAUCUGAUUAAAGUCAUUCACACUAAGGCGAGAAUGAGGCUUAAUCCCUCAAGAGCGUUUGCUUUAACAAAGGAUAGCUUGUUAACCCUAAUGAACUGCUCAUUGGAAGAACUCUGCAGAAGGAUCCCUCCUCCUCACCUUCCCAGACUUGCCAACCCCAUGUCCUUCCUUUUUAUUUGUCUUUCAUGAAGCAAAGGAGUAAUGAAAGUGUUAAGGACUCUAAGGUCACACAUUAUCUCCUUGAACUUAAAACAAGAGGUAUGUGAGGUAAUUAUGACCCCAUGCUCAUAAUGAGGAGACUGAAACUAGGGCGGUGGUUCUUAACCCUGACUACAUUUUGGAUAGGCCGGCUGCAACUCAGACAAAUUAAAUCAAAAUUUCUGGGAGGGGCAUCCAAGCGUCUGUAUCUUUUUUAAGCCCCUUAGAUGAUUUCAAAGCGCAGCCAAGGUUGCCAGCUUCUUGCCUAAACUCUGCAAGAAGCUAGAGUUUAGGAAAUGGAAAUUAACCAGAAUAGGUAGCAAUCCAUUGACCUGUUCCAUUUUUUCCUUUGGCAAGUAAAGUUUAUUUGGCUCAAUAGAAACAGAAUUAUCUGCAGGAAACUCGAUCUCAUAUAGAAUUAGAUUUGGGUAGGCUGGUGCCCAUAUGCAUCUAGAAAUGAGGGAGUUAGGACUAGCUGUGGAUAGCUAAACUGGUGGUGCAAGGUGGUACAUUUUGUCAUGCACAUGCUUGGAAGUGGUGCUUCUUAGGCAACCAAAAUAUGUUUCACUUUAUGCCGGGUAAGCAUUAGUGGUCCAUAGGAUUAAAAACAGAUAAGACAAAGAGUUAAGAUCACACAAAGGAGAAUCCUACAUAUUCUAAAAUGCUUAGUUUGCUGUUUGUUUAAAAUUCUAUACCCUGUCUCUUGCUAAGAAAUUGUGAUUAUAAGCACCCCCUUGAGAGUGACAUCAGAGCCUCUGAGAGAUAAAGUGUGUCCUUGGCCACUUCCUUUUGAAGAUAUACAUAUCUUCACCAGUUACAUACUCAUACAUGUAAUUAUGUGUAUUCAACAAAAGCUAUUCUGUACAUUCAAUAUAUUUUAUAAAUUCGUUCAAUAAAUUAACAUAGUUAAAUUAUAAACACAAACAAGUUAGCAGAACAUACCUCACUUGAAACUCAUUUGAAGAUAAUGCUAGACAUCUUAGUUUAUGGCCUUCGUGAAUGUGCCGUCAGUCCAGUUGACCCUCCUGGCCCCACCUGGAUGGAUCUGAAUGCCCAUGUUUCUGCAAUGGGCUUAGCAAUGAGUAACUGCUGACAGGGCCUGAUUCCAUCGAGCCCUCCCAGUAAUGAAUGUGUUUUUAGACAAUGUGGAGCAUUCUUUUCCUUUUUCAAACUUUUCUGGCCAUAGGUCACCAGCUCACCAGUUACUGCUGCAUUUUCAUUCUAAACCUUAUUGCUAUCAACUUUCCUAUCCAGUCUACAAUAGUCACUGAGCACCUGGCAUAAUUCCAGUCUUUCCUAGAGUCUGAGGCUACAUGGUAAGAAAAACUAGACCUGAAGCCUCUUGAAAUAUGCAGUAUAACAAGGACAAUGAAUAUGAAAUGGUAAAUAAUUAUGAUCAACUAAGUAAAUAAUAUAAAUGUGCAAAAUUUAGUGAAUGAGAAAAAUGAGAGUGUGUAUCUGGUGAAUCUAAACAGAUAAACAAUUAUAAUUAUUUUAUUGCUCUCUCCCUUUUUUAUUGAAUUCAAAUGUCUCACAUUAUAGUUGAAAGUCUUCACAGUAUUUGUACUACAUGUGCACAUUGAAUUCUUCUUCAUUUGUAAGGACAGAAUUCUAUUACUAGUUGCAUGAAAUAGUGACUAUUUGUGUUAAGUGGCAAGGUGUCCAUCACAUAGCCUCUAAAGGCAGGGUCGGAAGAAAUCUCUGACUGAUCAUUAGUACUAUGCUCUUGCUGUUGCAGUCUUUGGUGUUACUGUCAUUCACUUCCUGGGCUUAAUCUUUUAAGGGUAUGAUAUCUACAGACAAAGCUAGCCAGCUUAUCUUUGAUAACUUCAAGAAGUACAGCAUGUCGGCUUUUGGAUUAAUAUUUGAAAAUAAAAUAAAAAUUUAAUUUUAUUAUCACUUGUUUUGUCAAAAAUCAAAGGCUCUUUUAAAAUCUUUUUUGGCUGGAUGUAAAAUGAUUUUUUUCUGUUUCUGGAUAUAAGGUAAC
rnacentral:lncRNA from 10 species